CAGCCACUCUACUGCAUUCGACUUAUUAUCAUUAGAUUUUCCUUGGUUAUUUCUUUCUCUCUUUCACACACACAGACACGCACAUUUACCAAUGCGACCAUACACACGCCCGGACACUAGGACGCUUGUGGAGCUACAGUAGUAAUCGCGUCCGACGAAGAGAAACUCUCCGGCUGCUUAUCUGCUCCAGAUUCUGUUUAUAAUGGGGAUUUCUUGAAGAAUUCAUCCGUCCCAGGACACGACACGCUUGAGGGGAAAUGCACACCAUUCCUGUGUGAAGCAUGCCAAGUGCCCCUCUGUGUUAUUCUGGACAGAGACUGUCACAAGUAUUUUCACAGCUAGGGUGGCCUGUGUAUAUGUAGGGGUGCCUUUCAUUUUUUUUAUUUACACAAGACAUGGUAUUUGUUUUAUUUUCACCAUUUAAUUGUUCAGUCAACAUUGCUCUCAAAAGCAAUGUGUUAUCUUUUUCAUUAUACAAAUUUGAAGGCACUCUAUUCAUGUGUAAGGCACCCUCACCUGUCAAGUGUUAUCACAGUCUUUUUGCAUGUUCAGUUCCUAUAAUGUACAGUUUUUUAACCACUUAAUUGUAGUGCAUAGUGUAUUAUUGAAUAUAUAGAGUAGUGUAAUUGAAGAUUUGAUAAGGUCUUCUGUUUUUUAACACUUAAUUGUGUAAUCAACAUUGCUCUCAAAAGAAAUGUAUUAUCUGUUUCACUACACAGCUAAAAAUCGUUUAUAAAAAUUAAUGUAUCUUACAAACUAAUUUAUGUACAUAGUUCAAAUCAAUUGAGUGUUGUUCUAAAGUAUUUUAUGGAACUUUUUUACACUGACAAGUUUGAGGAUGGCAUUUGUUAUAUUUCUGUAUUUUGAAAAAUAUAUUGGAAAUAAAAAAAACGAUUUGAA